rnacentral:rRNA from 1 species
UACAGAGGGGGCGAGCGUUGGUCGGAAUUACUGGGCGUAAAGGGCGCGUAGGCGGCUGGCUAAGUCGAAUGUGAAAUCCCCGGGCUCAACCCGGGAACUGCGUCCGAUACUGGUGGGCUUGAAUCCGGGAGAGGGAUGCGGAAUUCCAGGUGUAGCGGUGAAAUGCGUAGAUAUCUGGAGGAACACCGGUGGCGAAGGCGGCAUCCUGGACCGGUAUUGACGCUGAGGCGCGAAAGCUAGGGGAGCAAACGGG